UACGAAGGGGGCUAGCGUUGUUCGGAAUUACUGGGCGUAAAGGGCGCGUAGGCGGUGUGUCAAGUCAGGCGUGAAAGCCCCGGGCUCAACCUGGGAACCGCGCUUGAGACUGGCACGCUAGAGUUCGGGAGAGGAUGGUGGAAUUCCUGGUGUAGCGGUGAAAUGCGCAGAUAUCAGGAGGAACACCGAUGGCGAAGGCAGCUCGCUGGGACGGUACUGACGCUGAGGCGCGAAAGCGUGGGGAGCAAACAGG
rnacentral:rRNA from 1 species